GACGAACGCUGGCGGCGUGCUUGACACAUGCAAGUCGAACGGAAAGGCCUGCUUUCCCUUGUGGAUUGCGGGUACUCGAGUGGCGAACGGGUGAGUAACACGUGAGUGAUCUGCCCCCAACUUGGGUAUAAGCCUGGGAAACUGGGUCUAAUUUCCGAUAGGACUGCAGGGUGGUGCCUGUGGUGGACAACGAUUUUCUAGUGGUUGGGGAUGAGCUCGCGGCCUAUCAGCUUGUUGGUGGGGUAAUGGCCUACCAAGGCGGCGACGGGUAGCCGGCCUGAGAGGGUGGACGGCCACAUUGGGACUGGGAUACGGCCCAGACGCCUACGGGAGGCAGCAGGGGGUGAUAUUGGACAAUGGGCGGAAGCCUGAUGCAGCGACGCCGCGUGGGGGAUGACGGCCUUCGGGUUGUAAACUCCUUUCGACCGAGAGGAAGCCACCUGGUUGGAAGGGUGGUGACGGUAGUGGUAGAAGAAGCACCGGCUAACUACGUG
rnacentral:rRNA from 1 species